UUGCACAGUGUGAACACCCAAGUGUGCUUUAUAGUUCCCUUGGCUUUGACUCUGUGCGAGAGCAAUGUCUGUCCUUUUCCUCUGCAUUGAAAGGAAUAUUUAUCCUUUUAAAUGUGUUCAGAAGUUCAGGACAUUA
ensembl:snoRNA